UACAGAGGGUGCGAGCGUUAAUCGGAAUUACUGGGCGUAAAGCGCGCGUAGGCGGCUUUGCAAGUCGAGUGUGAAAUCCCCAGGCUUAACCUGGGAACUGCAUUCGAGACUGCAUAGCUAGAGUAUGGGAGAGGGAAGUGGAAUUUCAGGUGUAGCGGUGAAAUGCGUAGAUAUCUGAAGGAACAUCAGUGGCGAAAGCGACUUCCUGGACCAAUACUGACGCUCAUGUGCGAAAGCGUGGGGAGUAAACAGG
rnacentral:rRNA from 1 species